AUUGUUUUGAUGUUCUGUCCACAUAUGACAAUUUAAUGAGACAUUCUAUGAUGCUGAACUGUGAUAGAAUCCUUUUUAUUAAAGAAAUUGUGUGAUCAAAGAUAGAACAUUUACCACCGUGUAUUAUUAUAUGCACCCAUUGACGAUGUAUUUGUUAGUACAGUAAACCUAUAGGAUUACCAUUGAUAAUGGUCACUUGUAUGUGACCGAAAUAUUUGGUUUAAAUA